AGAAUGCCGGAAUGAGUAGCGAGAGGAAGGUGGGAAUCCUUCCGGCCGAAUAUCUAAGGUUUCCAGAGUAAAGCUGAUCUGCUCUGGGUAAGUCGGGGCCUAAGGAGAGGUCGAAAGACGUAUCCGAUGGACAACAGGUUUAGAUUCCUGUACCACAUAUAAACAGAACUGUGGGGACGCAUGUGGAAAGCAUAAGCCGGGAAUGGAAAUACCGGUACAAACGGAAGAGGUGUCAGGCUGGCAAAUCCGCCUGAUAAGCCAAAGACGUGAUGUGGAGCGAAAUAAAAGUAGCGAAGUAUGUGAGCCAUGUGCCGAGAAAAGCCGCUAUCGUUUUAUAUGUGCCCGUACCGUAAACCGACACAGGUGGAUGAGGAGAGAAUCCUAAGGCCGACGGAAGAAGCAUUGUUAAGGAACUCGGCAAAAUGACCCCGUAACUUCGGGAGAAGGGGUGCCCACUUCAGGGUGGGCCGCAGAGAAUAGGCUCAAGCAACUGUUUAGCAAAAACACAGGUCUAUGCGAAACCGUAAGGUGAAGUAUAUGGGCUGACGCCUGCCCGGUGCUGGAAGGUUAAGAGGAGAGGUUAGUCGCAAGAUGAAGCUUUGAAUUUAAGCCCCAGUAAACGGCGGCCGUAACGAUAACGGUCCUAAGGUAGCGAAAUUCCUUGUCGGGUAAGUUCCGACCCGCACGAAAGGCGUAAUGAUUUGAGCACUGUCUCGACAAUGCAUCCGGUGAAAUUGAAGUACCAGUGAAGAUGCUGGUUACCCGCGCCAGGACGGAAAGACCCCAUGGAGCUUUACUCCAGUUUGGUACUGGGAUUCGGUACUGCAUGUACAGGAUAGGUGGGAGACUGAGAAAUUGGAACGCCAGUUUCAAUGGAGUCACUGUUGGGAUACCACCCCUGCAGUAUUGGGUUUCUAACCAGCCGCUGUGAUCCAGCGGUGGGACAAUGCCAGGCGGGGAGUUUGACUGGGGCGGUCGCCUCCGAAAGGGUAUCGGAGGCGCUCAAAGGUUCCCUCAGAAUGGUCGGAAACCAUUUUAAGAGUGCAAAGGCAGAAGGGAGCUUGACUGCGACACCGACGGGUGGAGCAGGUACGAAAGUAGGACUUAGUGAUCCGGUGGCAUAAAGUGGGAUUGCCAUCGCUCAACGGAUAAAAGCUACCCUGGGAUAACAGGCUUAUCACUCCCAAGAGUUCACAUCGACGGAGUGGUUUGGCACCUCGAUGUCGGCUCAUCGCAUCCUGGGGCUGUAGCAGGUCCCAAGGGUUGGGCUGUUCGCCCAUUAAAGCGGUACGCGAGCUGGGUUCAGAACGUCGUGUGACAGUUCGGUCCCUAUCCGGCGCGGGCGGAGGAUAUUUGAGAGGAGCUGUCCUUAGUACGAGAGGACCGGGAUGGACGGACCACUGGUGUAUCUGCUGUCGACCAACGGCAUGGCAGAGUAGCCAAGUCCGGAAGGGAUAAACGCUGAAGGCAUCUAAGCGUGAAGCCCCCCUCAAGAUGAGAUAUCCCUCACAUAAGUGAGUAAGAUCCCUUGAAGAGUACAAGGUAGAUAGGGCAGAGGUGGAAGCAUGGUAACAUGUGGAGCUGACUGUUACUAAUCGAUCGAGGGCUUGAUC
rnacentral:rRNA from 1 species